CGCACAAGCGGUGGAGCAUGGGGUUAAUUCGAAGCAACGCGAAGAACCUUACCUGGCCUUGACAUGAUGAGAACUUUCCAGAGAUGGAUCGGUGCCAUCGGGAACUAAGACACAGGUGCUGCAUGGCUGUCGUCAGCUCGCUCGUGAGAUGUUGGGUUAAGUCCCGUAACGAGCGCAACCCUUGUCCUUAGUUACCAGCCAGUUAUGGUGGCCACCAUAAGGAGUCCACCGGUGACAAACCGGAGGAAGGUGGGGAUGACGUCAAGUCAUCAUGGCCCUUACGGCCAGGGCUACACACGUGCUACAAUGGUCGGUACAAAGGGUUGCCAAGCCGCGAGGUGGAGGUAAUCCCGGGGAAACCGAUCGUAGUCCGGAUCGCAGUCUGCAACUCGACUGGCGUGAAGUCGGAAUCGCUAGUAAUCG
rnacentral:rRNA from 2 species